ensembl:lncRNA
UUCCUUCCCUCCCUCCUUCCCUCCGCCUGCCUGCCGCGAUCCCUCCUUCCCGCCGGCCGCAUGGCAAGCCCAACACUCCCAGGCCCCUCCGCAACGUGCAGCCCGCAGCUGGCCGAGCGAUGGGGAACACGCAGCCAGAAGGACACUGCCCGGCGCACCAGCUAAGCUCCAGGUGAAGCCACCGCUCCGCUCCCGAACCUUCCGUGGGCUGCACGACAGCACUCGGCGAAAUUACAUUAUAUGCGUCUCUGUGUAACCUCCCGUUACAUUUAACAAGUGUUAUUUCAAACGGCACGUGCCUGUUUUAUGGCAGGAUUCGUGCGGGUAGGCAAACAGUGGCCGGGGAGGUUUGGGCCUGAGGUAAGCGGCACGGUAAGGCAGGUGAGGUGCUAUUUAAACGAGGUCUGAGCGUGCGGCUAGGCGGUAGUAAGAACGUUCAAAUUUUGUUAUUCCAAGUCUGUCGUUGAGCGUUCUUGAUGAAUUGUCCGUGAGCAUACAGAUGGUGAGAUUUUCAUGCCUCCGUGCCAUUCUGACAUCUCAGGCUGUAAAAAUAAACUCCCAGAUCGCUGUGAUACCUACGGAGUAGAAAAAUCCGCUCCACCUUAAUACUCAGCACUGAAGUGCUUUACGUCUAAGAGACUUUGUAACGCCCGAUACAGGAGUUGGUGUGAACCGAGAAUAGCGAUUUAAUGGAUUUACACUACAAAACAACAUUUAAGAUAACUUCUGCUCCCUUCUCUUAAAGCAGAUUUCUUCCCCUGCCCUUCUCAGUUCAGAGUCACGGGAGAUGGAGAUUAAAAACGUGCUUCUGUUUUUUCCUGUGUUUUAUAAAGACUUUUCUUUCAUACUUUGUAUGUAAGGGUGACAGAAGGACCUUUCAGUGGGUCACGUUUACUUUUCCUGAAAAGAUUCUUGGUUCGUUUAUUGAUAUCACACGGUUUUCCAAAGUGGUGACGAACAGUUGUGUCCGUUGCGAUUAUUUACGUUGAGGAUCAAAGGUAUUCGCGUCGAAGCCUUUUCCAAAUAAAACGAUGACUUCUUUCGUGCCUCAGAAGCCCCAUUGCGGAGCGCCGCGCGCCGCCCGCUCCGGCUGGAAGGCAGCGCUGGCACUGCUCGCAGGGGGCACCCUGCUGGGUAACGCCGGCCCGCGGGCAGCGUGUCGGGCUUCGUAAGGUUUGUGAGCUGACCGAAAUAGAAAAUACAAAUCGAUAUAUAUAGCAGGGUGACACGGUGAAAAUGAGCUUAAAGAAAAACAUUUUGCAGAGACAAGUAUGUAUUUUCAAAAGGUUUGAAAUAUUCAAUCGGUGAAAAAAAUAACUACUU